rnacentral:lncRNA from 1 species
GACUCAACUUUUAAAAGGGUUGCAGAGAAUGCUAUAAUUAUGUAAUGGAUCUACAUACUGUUAAAGAAAGCCAAGUGUUCCUCUAAUUUAUGCUUGUAAUAGGUUUGGUUUUGAACCACUUUAGGUAUGUACGUGUUAAAUUAACUUUAUUUUCAUCUUAGUAGGUAUUGAAUAAGACUUUCAGCUUAGUAGUUUAUUAAAGCUUGAAAACAUGAAAGACCAUCUUGAGUCACCGAGAAGGAAGCUAUAAUUUCUAUACAGAACCUACUUUUCUUGAAGCUUUAUUUCAGCAUACUAUUUUUUUCUAA